rnacentral:rRNA from 1 species
UACGAAGGGGGCUAGCGUUGUUCGGAAUUACUGGGCGUAAAGCGCACGUAGGCGGAUUUGUUAGUCAGGGGUGAAAUCCCGGGGCUCAACCUCGGAACUGCCUUUGAUACUGCAAAUCUCGAGUCCGAUAGAGGUGGGUGGAAUUCCUAGUGUAGAGGUGAAAUUCGUAGAUAUUAGGAAGAACACCGGCGGCGAAGGCGGCCCACUGGAUCGGUACUGACGCUGAGGUGCGAAAGCGUGGGGAGCAAACAGG